rnacentral:rRNA from 1 species
AACGAACGCUGGCGGCAUGCCUAACACAUGCAAGUCGAACGAGACCUUCGGGUCUAGUGGCGCACGGGUGCGUAACGCGUGGGAACCUGCCCUUAGGUUCGGAAUAACUCCCCGAAAGGGGUGCUAAUACCGGAUAAUGUCUUCGGACCAAAGAUUUAUCGCCUUUGGAUGGGCCCGCGUUGGAUUAGCUAGUUGGUAGGGUAAAAGCCUACCAAGGCGACGAUCCAUAGCUGGUCUGAGAGGAUGAUCAGCCACACUGGGACUGAGACACGGCCCAGACUACGCGGGGAGGAGGCAGGGGGAAGUAUUCGACACUGGGCACACGACGGAUGCAGGGAGGUGGCGUGGGUGGGGAGGGGGGGAGGGUGGACAAGGUCUGUUACGGGGGAGGAAAGUGACAUUACCGGCCGAAUAAGCUCGGGCGAACACCGUGCAACCGGCCGGGGGAAUGGGCGAGGACAAUACGUCAGAAC